GGCUCAGUAACACGUAGCUAACCUGCCCUUGAGUGAGGGAUAACCUCGGGAAACUGAGGAUAAGACCUUAUAGGAGAUUCGUUCUGGAAAGAAUUUUCUCUUAAACUUACGGCUCAAGGAUGGGGCUGCGCCUGAUUAGGUUGUUGGCGGGGUAAUAGCCCACCAAGCCAAUGAUCAGUAGGGGCUCUUAGCGGAGUCGCCCCGAGAGGGAGUCUGAGACACUAUUCCCAGCUCUACGGAGUGCAGCAGUUAUGAAUUUUUUGCAAUGCGCGCAAGCGUGACAAAGCGAGCCAAAGUGCUUUUCGCACAGAAAAGCUUUUGCCAGCUGUAAAAAGGCUGGCGAAUAAGGACUGGGCAAGACCGGUGCCAGCCGCCGCGGUAAUCCCGGCAGUCCAAGUCGCAGCCAGCAUUAUUGGGUCUAAAACAUCCGUAGCUUGUUUAUUAAGUUUCUUGUGAAAUCCUAUAUCUUAAGUAUGGGGCUUGCAGGAAAUACUGAUAAGCUAGAGACCGGAAGAUGUAAGGAGUACACUUGAGGUAGUAGUAAAAUACGUUAAUCUUAUGUGGACUAACAAUUGGCGAAGGCACCUUACAAGUACGGAUCUGACAGUGAGGGAUGAAGGCUAGGGGCGCAAAAGGGAUUAGAUACCCCUGUAGUCCUAGCAGUAAACACUGCUCACUAAACAUUGGUCUCUCUUCGGGAGAAAUCAGUGCUGCAGCGAAGGCGAAGAGUGAGCUACCUGGGAAGUAUAGUCGCAAGAUCGAA
rnacentral:rRNA from 1 species